UACGUAGGGCGCAAGCGUUGUCCGGAAUUAUUGGGCGUAAAGAGCUCGUAGGUGGUUUGUUACGUCUGCUGUGAAAACCUAGGGCUUAACCCUGGGCCUGCAGUGGAUACGGGCAGACUAGAGGUAGGUAGGGGAGAAUGGAAUUCCCGGUGUAGCGGUGAAAUGCGCAGAUAUCGGGAGGAACACCGGUGGCGAAGGCGGUUCUCUGGGCCUUACCUGACACUGAGGAGCGAAAGCGUGGGGAGCGAACCGG
rnacentral:rRNA from 1 species